rnacentral:lncRNA from 1 species
UUUUUUUUUUGUUUUUUUCCGAUACAUUGACGGCAUGAAUGUAGGGUGGGAAAACGAGUAUCUAUUAAUAAAAAAAAGGUAAAAGUUGGACUAAGAAACUCUUCCCUUUCUCACUCCAACUACUGCCUAUAAAAUAAGGCUUUUUCUCGUUGAUUAAGGCAUAUUUUUAUUUUCAAUAUGUAGCUACUUGAUCGCCUCCAUGAUAUGUUUUGUACCUAUUUGGGCGAUUUGUCACAUUCAUUGUGUCGUCUGAAAGCUGGACUAUGUAACCUGGGCAAGUGUACAUUGAUUAAUUUUUUUUUCUUUUCUUUAUGUCACCAUUCGAAUUACUUACGAAUGUCCAAAUACAUGAUGAAAAAUAAUAAAAACACAAAGAUCUCAAUGACUCUCACUUAAUGCCACUUUAACAACUUUUAUUACGUAAAAAAAAUUGUGUAAAUUUGAUAUUGGGAUCAUGAAGCACAUAAUAAUCAUAUGAAUAAGAAAUCACUAGAAAGUAUAAAAGGAAGAUGCUAGAGAUUACCUCAAUCGAGCUUUGUACACCCUACACCGGGUCUCCUCCUUCGAUGGCGCAGAGGAUCACGCUUAGAUGUUCGAUCUAA